UUCUGUCUUCAUUUUGGCAUGAAACUCUAUGCUCUGUAAUUGGGUCUAAAUUGGAAGAAAGAAAGUUAAGCAGGGGCGAGCUCGGUUAGUACUUGGAUGGGAGACCACCUAGGAAGAUCAAGUGCUGUAGACA
rnacentral:rRNA from 1 species